rnacentral:rRNA from 1 species
GAUGAACGCUGGCGGCGUGCCUAAUACAUGCAAGUCGAGCGAACAGACGAGGAGCUUGCUCCUCUGACGUUAGCGGCGGACGGGUGAGUAACACGUGGAUAACCUACCUAUAAGACUGGGAUAACUUCGGGAAGCCGGAGCUAAUACCGGAUAAUAUAUUGAACCGCAUGGUUCAAUAGUGAAAGACGGUUUUGCUGUCACUUAUAGAUGGAUCCGCGCCGCAUUAGCUAGUUGGUAAGGUAACGGCUUACCAAGGCAACGAUGCGUAGCCGACCUGAGAGGGUGAUCGGCCACACUGGAACUGAGACACGGUCCAGACUCCUACGGGAGGCAGCAGUAGGGAAUCUUACGCAAUGGGCCAAAUCUUGACGGAGCAACGCCGCGUGAGUGAUGAAGGUGUUCGGAUCGUAAAACUCUGUUAUUAGGGAAGAACAAAUGUGUAAGUAACUAUGCACGUCUUGACGGUACCUAAUCAGAAAGCCACGGCUAACUACGUG